rnacentral:lncRNA from 1 species
GUUUAAUAUCUUUAAAAUGAUUGAGUUUUAUACAAUAUUUGUUAGUACUGAAAAAUUGAGUUCCAAUACGGCAUUCCAUAAUACUUAUUACAAUUAUACCAUAAUUUUUUAUUUUUCACAUUUUACACAAUUAAUGAGGGUUUACUUAUCCCCAUUCAUCUGAUGAGAGUGGGCAAGUAAAUAUGAUCCUCUGAGCCCUUCAGGGGUGCAACCUUGCAUCAAAUCCUGGCACGCCCCUGUCAUGUAUUAGUUACAAAUUUGGCUUGCAUUUCAUUUCAUACUGUUUGAGUUAGAGAUCAAGUUUGUUUUUUGUUUCAAUUGAACAACUUUUUAUGCCCCACCUACGAUAGUAGAGGGGCAUUAUGUUUUCUGGUCUGUUGCUCCGUUCGUCCGUCUGUCCGUUCAGGUUAAAGUUUUUGGUCAAGGUAGUUUUUGAUGAAGCUGAAGUCCAAUCAACUUGAAACUUAGUAAACUUGUUGCUUAUGAUAUGAUCUUUUUUUUAAUUUUAAAGCCAAAUUAGACUUUUGACCCCAAUUUCACGGUCCACUAAACAUAGAAAAUGAAAGUGGGAGUUUCAUGUUAAAGUUUUUGGUCAAGGUAGUUUUUGAUAAAAUUGAAGUCCAAUCAACUUAAAACUUAGUACAUAUGUUCCCUAUAGUAUAAUCUUUCUAAUUUUAAUUCCAAAUUAGAUUAUUACCCAAUUUCACGGUCCAUGGAACAUGGUAAAGGAUAGUGCGAAUGGGGCAUCCGUGUACUUUGGACACAUUCUUGUUUAAAAAUGUAUUGCUAUCAUUUAAAUGUUAUUUUCAAUUGGUUUUUUUUAUGUAUCUACACACUUUUGGUACACUGUAUUUGGUAUAUAGUUGUAUAGAGAUAAGUUGAGAUGGAGUGUGCAUUGGGUUCUGGUAUAGGCCUUCUUUUUAUGAUAUGACAAUUUUUUGUUGAAAUUAUAUGAUGGUCUUAGCUGUCAUCAUUAUAUUUAUAGCAGACAUAAAUUGUUGAUAAAGUUUUACAGUAAAUUGUAUCUCAGAGUCCUUUGCAAAACAGUUUUGCAUUACAUUUUUUUCCACAUGCCAUGCAGAUUAUUCAGUUCGGCCUUGUCAGUUGUAAAUAUUACAACAGUUACUGUAUAUUAGGGAUAUUUCUUCCUUGUUGUUAUUAUAGUAUGAUUGAAAUAGGGCACAGUUUUAUGUUAUGUCACAUUCUGUACAAUUUUUGCUGUUAUUUUUUUAAAUCUUUCUACACUACAAUGCAUUUUACAGUAAAACAUCAGAUUAGUAAAUUUUCAGUGCUGUAGCUAUAGUUAUAUAUGUAUUAAGCUAAUAUUUUAUGGUUCCAGGAUGAGAUCUCAAAAUACUUGCAUUGUAGGAAAACUUAAAAGAUGAAGUUUUGUGUUCAAGGGAAGUUUCAAAGCUGAAUUUCCAAAAUAUCAUUAUCAUAUUUGAUUGUUAAGUUCAUAUUUAUAAAAAAAAAAAUGUCUGGAUUUUAUAACUUUAUAUAUGAACCGAUUCAAAUGGUUUAUUUUUCCGCCAUCAUGUGUCAUCCAUAGUCGUUUUCCCACAAAAUUUUAUUAAUUUAUUUUUUUGAAAAAUUACUUUAGUAAACUAUAAAAUCACUCCAGGGUAAUGUUUGUGUAAUAGUGAAAUAUGUGGAGCAGGAUCUGUUUACCCUUCUGAGGUACCUUAAGGUUUUUGAUGGGGUUUGUGUAUCUCUGUCCACAGUUUUCUGGUACAAAACAUAUCCACUACAAUAAAUUAUGAAAUUAAGUUUAUAUCUCUGAUACUCAUUGAUGCUAUUAAUAAUAUGUCACAACAAUGAUCCAAUUUGUUUUUGUUGGGGAUCCUAUUGCUCAAUCUUUAGUAAUCCAUGUUGUCUUUUGUUUACUGUUGUUAGUUUAUUUUUUCGACUUACGAGUUUGAAUGACCCUUUGAUAUCUUUCACCUCUCUUUUACAAUUUUAUGUUCUACCUACAGAAUUUGUUACCCUUACUCCUCAGUAUGAUGAUCCAUCCAUCUGUCUUUUUUACUAAUAUUUAAAUAAAAUAUUCCUCUUGUAUAUAUCUACUACAUUAGGUCACUUUUAUCUAAUUUUAUGCUUGAGUGACAAUAUUUGAAAUAGGAAUUAAAGUUUCUAUCCCUGAUGCUCAUUGUGGUUUCUUCUAUAAACAAUAUUAUGUCACAACUAUUAUCCCCUUAAGGUAGAUUGUGGAUCUAAAUUAUAAACAAUAGAUUUGUUUUUCACUUUGCUAAAAUGUAGUUUAUAUCAUGCUAUUUUAAAAAUUAAAUUAAAAGUGUGGGUCAUCUUACUUUUUUUAAGCUAUAAGUUAUUCUAAAUUAUCAGAUUUCGUGUGGGUUAUAUACAGAAAAAGUCAUUUUGUUUACAUAUAAAGAAAACUAAACAAAUGUAGUUUUUCGAUAAGAUUUGAAAAAAUAGCUCCAAUAAUCUGCUCUAAGAAAAUAAAAAGAAAAUUUAGGUACACUGAACUUGCUUUCUUGCUACAUAACAAAGAAGAUGAAUUUACUGUUUUUUUUUGUUAAAUUAUAUUUUGAGUACAUGCUGAUUAUCAUAUUAAUUGUAAAGACAUGAAAUAUCAUCAUACAAUCAUGUGUAUUGUAAUCCACUAAUGUAACAAAAGUUAAAAUUUUUGGAUAUGAUUACAAAUUUAUCUUUUUAUCAAAAUAAAAGGUGUAAUGGUAAGAUAAAUAUCAAAUUUAUUUUCAUUUGAAAGAGAAGUCCAAGAAAUAAAUUUCUAGAAUAUUGAAGUGACUACAUUUUACACAUGUAAGUAAAAUAUUUUUUAGGGGGAUACUUGCUCCCUGUCCAGAAGACUGAAUAUCUUUCUUUCAGCAUCAAUAUCAAACAGACUCCAGGUGAUAAAUACAGCUUUCUGGAAACCUCUAGAUUUUGUUUGUUUGUAAUUUGGUAACACUUAAUGUUUUUUGUUGUUUUUUAACACAUAUAACAUACAGACAUUGUACAGGCUGAUAAUCAUAUUGAUUGUAAAGACAUGAAAUAUCAUCAUAAAAUCAUGUGUAUUGUAAUUUGUUCAUAGAUCAGAUGGGAUGUAAGUGUUUUAUACAAAAGUCAGAUGUUGUUUCUGGCAUUUUGUAAUAAAGAAAACAAG